rnacentral:lncRNA from 1 species
AGUUUUCCUAAAGGUUCUACAGCAUCUCGAGGAUAAAUACAGACGUCUCCGUACCGAUCUGCGAGACUCUACUAAAGCGACUCAUGAUUCGUGAGACCAAGUAACCUAGGCUCUGAUACCAACUUGUGACGACCCCAACCUCGGCCAUGAUAGUGCCCAACACUCUUCUAGGCAAGCCCGACCUUUUCAAAAAUAUUUUCCAACUUAAGCAGAUUAUGGAUAUACAACACAUGGAAAAAGUAUAUUAAAACUAUAAUGUAGAAAGUCUAGGAAUACAAAUAAAAUAUGCGAAAGUUCAAUUUAAAGUACUGCAACAUAGCCCAAUAGAAUCCGGUGUCACAAAUCUGAACCUCUAAUAAAGAAUAUCCACCUAUUACACGUCUGCCUAGGAAAAUGCAAAAUAACAAGAUAGAGAUAGAGGGGAGAGAUCAAGGCUGCGAAUGCCAUGCAGCUACCUCGAUACUCCCGGAUACCGCUGCUUAGCUAAACAAAUCCUCACUCAGCCUGUGGUGUACCUGGAUCUGCACGCAAGCUACAGAGAGUUGAGUACUUCGACCCAGUGAGUAAUAAACAUAAAUAAAGGCCGAGGAUAAGAAAUCGUGGAAAAAUAUAAAAUAAAAAUAAAACUAGCAAGUCAGAGCAUUUAAUAAUGAAACAACCAGCCAAUGAAACAAGUGUACAACUUCUAAGACAGGUAAAACAGGUAAGGAGCAAAUGCAUGAAUGAAAUGCAAUGCAUAUGAUGGUACACUCUAGUACCCACUGCGGUGUAUAGCCUGAGCCAUUCAUAUUUAUUUAUCGUCCACGGUGCUCACUAGGGGUGUUUACAGACUCCGGAGGGGUUCCUACAACCCAAGCGCAAUAUCAAGCCAUCUCGUGGCAUCAACCAGGCUCUCGGCCUCAAUAUCAAUAUAAUCAACCAGGCCCUCGGCCUCAAUAUAAAUUUAAUACUGCUGCGGCGCGCAGCCCGAUCCAUCCUCAAUCCAUAAAAUCAUCAUAAGCCCUUUGGUCAAUUGUAAAACAGUAGUUCUCAGCCUAAAAUAGCAUUUAGAAAUAUCAUUUAAGUUUUCAAAGCUUAGAAAGAUGGCUGAGUUUGCAAAAUAGUAUUUAAAACCUUGGACCGAGAUCAAAUAAUAUGCAAAAUAUGCAAAAACUGUGAUAUCAAUCCCCGAAGGAUUCAAAUAAUUGGCAAGAAGCCAAAAUAUAGCAAUUAAAUUCAAGUAGGAUGAUUAUUAAAUAAGUUCUAGUUGAAAACACAGUAGAAACAUCUCUUGGGACGGACCAAGUCACAAUUCCCAAUAACAAACGUCCCUGCAUUCGUCAUAGAGCACGUGUCUCGCCUCAAAAUGGCAUUACGAUGUGAAAUUUUGGGGUUUCAAACCCUCAGGACUUCAUUUACAUCCAUUACUCACCUCAAACCGGCCAAAGUCUAGCUAGCUAUGCCCUUGCCUCUCGAAUCGACCUCCUCACGCGUCAAAUAUGACCAAAAUCACAACGAAUCCUUCACAAUAUACCAAGGGAACAAAACCCAAUCAAAAUAAUCGAAAAACAACAAGAAUCCCCGAAAUUAGCAGAACCCGAGCCACGGGCCCACUUCUUGAAACUCCGAAACUUUUACACCAACGGAUUCCUUAUCUCGCCACAAGUUUAUGCAUAUCAAAUUCACAAGCAUCGAAGUCCAUUUGGCACUUCAAAUCCCUACUUUAAACUCUCUUAACUUCAAACCCUAAUCCACCAUUUUUGACCUUUAAUCCCUUGAUUAUUUAUUCUAAAUUCAUGUAUUUGCACCAUAGAAUCAUGUUAUUAAGUCGAUCCCCUCAAAUCCCUCGUCUAAACUCUCUUAAGAUCAAACCCUAAUACACCAUUUUUGACCCGUUUAUUCGUUGAUUAUUCCAUCUAAAUUCAUGUAUUUGCACCAUAAAAUCAUGUUAUUAAGUCAAGAAUUCAUACCUGAUCAAAGCCUUUGAAACCCUCUUCAAAAUCGCCCAAAAACUCACUAAGUCCGAGAUGAAACAUGAUACUCUUUCAAAACUUCGCGAAGUAAAAUUAAAUAUAAUUGACCAGCAGAAACCGCUUCUGUGGUAAACAUGUCGCUCUGCAACUUUCGCUUCUCUAGUCCAUGUCCACUUCUGCGGACCCUCACUUAAUGGUGCCGGCUGCUUCUGCGGCCCAUAUUACGCACCAGCGGGACUGCUUCUGCGGUCCGACCUUCCGCUUAUGCUUAAGCCCAACUCAAAUACAUAACCACUUAUGUGGUUCCCAAAUCACAUAAGCAAUACCGUUUCUGCGGUCCAAAUUUCGCAGAAGCGAAAACAUACCAAAAACAGUAGUCAUUGCACAACACAAGUCCAAAUCCUUCCGUUAUAACCAUCAAAACUCACCCCGAGGUCCCCGGGACCUCAACCAAAAAUACAGACAUGGACCAAUACCCUAUUCAAACUCGUUCCAAUCAUAAAAAUACAUCUCACAAAAAAAAUCCUCAAUUCUCAUCAAAUUCAAGCCUAAGUUCUUCAAAUUCUUCUGAAACUCGCAUUCGAUCAAAAACCCAACCAAAUUACCUCCGAAUCAUCUAAAAUUUUGCAUACAUAUCCCAAAUCACCUAUUGAAGCCACUGCAACUCUCGGAAUCCCAUUCCGACCCUUGGAUCAAAAUCUCACCUAUCAACCGGAUAUCGCCAAAAUGCUAACUUCGCCAACUCAAGCCUAAUUCUACACCGGGCCUCCAAAAUAAAUUUUGAUAACAAUCCUAAAUCACAAAUCACUCCCCUAAGCUAAUCGAAUCACUGGAAAUCACAUCCGAGCCUCCUAACUCAUAAGUCAACAUCCGAUUGACUUUUUCAAGCCAAAUCUCCCUUUAAGAGACUAAAUAUCUCAUUUCCUAUCAAAACCAAUCCAAUUCAACUCUAACACACCAAUUGUAGAUAAUAAAACAUGAAGAAGUAUAAAAUGCGGAACACAGACUGGUUCUCAUGAGAGGACGGGUCGAUUCGUCAUAAUGUGCUUGUGAAAUUAACAUUAAUUCAAAUCUUCCUUAGCUUUAGAACUGAUAUGUACACUUAAUUUUUGCUCAUUCUAUAUGUUGCUUGCAUUAUGCCAUUCAACAUUGUUUAUAUAUUUCUUAUCAGAUUGGACACUAAAUAGAACUGGGCAUGUCACACAUGCCCAUAUCUAAGGCACGAAAAUAUCAAAUUAGACAUGAAUUUUUUUAAAUAAAUUCAUACUUUUUGUGUAACCCAUGAGAGGAAAAUAAAAUAAAGAAGGUCAGUGAAAUUAAAAGGCACAUAUGUUGGAUUACAGAGCUAUCCCAAAUUGUGAAACAUCAUAAUUGAAACCUAAUUUUCUCAGUCAAAAUCUAAUUAUCACAGUCCAAAAACGUCAAAUUGAUUCUUAAUGCACUUUAAACGAGUUGAAAAUGAUGAAAAGUAGGAUUAAAUCCUGAAAAGCGCGAAAUGAAGCGCAUAAAAACAGAGGCAUAACAGUAUAUCCUCAAUUAGGUUAGAUUUUUAAGCGAAAGCAAGCUAAAUAUUUCAUGAAAGAUUCAAAACAUCAUAAGAAUACCAUCAUAACUCUAAAUAAUAUUUAUAAUCACAAAAGAAUAAGAAAUCUAAUAGAAAUUUUGAUUGAAGAAUUUUGUCAAACACCCUGAGAACAAAAUUUAUUAACAUAUUUCACUUUGUCUGCAAUAAUCCCCUCACUAUUCAUGGAAAAAUACAAAUACCUAGCAUAUUAUCAAGUAUUGGAAUAAAUUAAGACAAAAAAUAUAAGAUGAGAAGAAGAUUACCAGUGGCCAGUAGAAAAUACCAAUAGACACAGGGGAGGAGCAAGAGCGUGUAGAUAUGAAGCAAAGAGGCGUUUAAAGAAGAGGGCUUUGCAGAUGAAGCUCUUUACAAAUAUUGGAUGUUAGUAAGAGAAACCAAACAGUGAGUUGACAUCUAUUAAAAUUGGGCUACACGUGUUAGGCUGCAAAUAUAAGCCAUGAGAAUAUUUUGGGCCAGACAGACAUGUUGACCAUGAGUUGUCUGGUUAUUCCCAUUU